rnacentral:rRNA from 1 species
AUUGAACGCUGGCGGCAUGCCUUACACAUGCAAGUCGAACGGCAGCACGGGUGCUUGCACCUGGUGGCGAGUGGCGAACGGGUGAGUAAUAUAUCGGAACGUACCUUAUUGUGGGGGAUAACGCAGCGAAAGCUGUGCUAAUACCGCAUAAUCCCUUAGGGGGAAAGCGGGGGACCGUAAGGCCUCGCGCAAUUAGAGCGGCCGAUACCUGAUUAGCUAGUUGGUGAGGUAAAGGCUCACCAAGGCGACGAUCAGUAGCUGGUCUGAGAGGACGAUCAGCCACACUGGGACUGAGACACGGCCCAGACUCCUACGGGAGGCAGCAGUGGGGAAUUUUGGACAAUGGGGGCAACCCUGAUCCAGCAAUGCCGCGUGAGUGAAGAAGGCCUUCGGGUUGUAAAGCUCUUUUGUCAGGGAAGAAACAGCAGCUCUAACACAGUAUGCGAAUGACGGUACCUGAAGAAUAAGCACCGGCUAACUACGUGCCAGCCGCCGCCGUAA